rnacentral:lncRNA from 10 species
UUCUGCUCAUCACGACUUCUCCUCCACUUCCCAGAAGAGGUCAAGGCAGAACAUUUCUGGAUGACACCCACAGUAGAUCAAGCAUCAGAGCACUCGAGGAAUGAGCAGGAACUUUAUCAGCAUGUGGUCAAAAUAAAGAAAGUACAAAGGAAAAAUCUGGGCCAGACUCUGGGUAUUGAGUCCUUGAUUUAAAAGUUAGCAUGAUGGCAGUGGGGAUGGUGGUGAUGGAAGCCCUCAGUGUGUCUCUCCCUGGAGUCCUGGUGUCCCACUUCUUCAGGCUGGACUUGUUUCCUUCUGCACCUAGUGCAUAACUGUCAUUCUGGACUCUCCCAUCACCCUUACCCUAGAGUCCCUUCACCACUCUCCUGUGUUUGAUUCCUA